rnacentral:rRNA from 1 species
UACGGGGGAGCAAGCGUUGUUCGGAUUUACUGGGCGUAAAGGGCGCGUAGGCGGCCACCGCAAGUCAAUUGUGAAAUCUCCGGGCUUAACUCGGAAAGGUCAACUGAUACUGCGGGGCUAGAGUGCGGAAGGGGCAACUGGAAUUCUCGGUGUAGCGGUGAAAUGCGUAGAUAUCGAGAGGAACACCUGCGGCGAAGGCGGGUUGCUGGGCUGACACUGACGCUGAUGCGCGAAAGCUAGGGGAGCGAACGGG